rnacentral:rRNA from 1 species
UACGAAGGGGGCUAGCGUUGUUCGGAAUUACUGGGCGUAAAGGGCGCGCAGGCGGCUCAUUUUGUCAGGCGUGAAAGCCCCGGGCUUAACCUGGGAACUGCGUUUGAUACGGAUGGGCUAGAGUUCGGGAGAGGAGAGUGGAAUUCCCAGUGUAGAGGUGAAAUUCGUAGAUAUUGGGAAGAACACCGGUGGCGAAGGCGGCUCUCUGGACCGAUACUGACGCUGAGGCGCGAAAGCGUGGGGAGCAAACAGG